rnacentral:rRNA from 1 species
UACGUAGGGUGCAAGCGUUGUCCGGAAUUAUUGGGCGUAAAGAGCUCGUAGGCGGUUUGUCGCGUCGAAUGUGAAAACCCGGGGCUCAACCCCGGGCCUGCAUUCGAUACGGGCAGACUAGAGUUCGGUAGGGGAGUCUGGAAUUCCUGGUGUAGCGGUGAAAUGCGCAGAUAUCAGGAGGAACACCGGUGGCGAAGGCGGGACUCUGGGCCGAUACUGACGCUGAGGCACGAAAGUGUGGGGAUCAAACAGG